CCAUCUGGAUUUGGAGAAGAAAGAAACAAAAAGCUUAGAGCCACCGGGAGGCUAAGUGGUGAACAGUAUGUGACGCUCCGCUUCGCCCUUGGUAGAGCCGUGGGUCCUCCACCUACCCUACCUACAUCUCCACUGGCUCCCACGGGAAACCCUAGCCUAUUUGAGCCUGAGCUCCACGGAAGCAGAGACCGUCCGGAAGAAGAAUUUGGCUGCCUCUCUGUGGUCUCUGUGAGCCUCUCAACAUAAAGGCAUUUUCGAACUAGGAGGUGGUGGGUGCCCCUUCCAGCCCCAGAGUUCCCUGCCAGCAGCCCUGCUGCCCAGCCCCCAGACUGCCCCUGGCUGAGGCCUUUGUAGCUAACAGCUCUGUGACAUUUACCCUGGGUGGCUCCCACUGCACCUGGCUCAGCCGACAGAAGUGGAAGACGGGAGCCUGGCUCUUCCCCUCUCCUGCGAGGUAAUCGGCGGAAGCAACUACAGAGGCUGCACGAAACAUUUAAGACAGUUCCCUGCACAAAGUCCCCACUUCUGGCCCCUUGGAGUCUUGAGUGCAGAGGAUGCAAAGACCACAAACGAGACACCGUGGAAUCCCUGGGUAAGGAGAGAAAACCCUGAAGUCAUAUCCGCCUGUUCUCAACUCCUUGGUCGCUUGCCAAGAUGGCCACAGGAAGGGAACACAUCACACAACACUUCUUCUGUUCUUCAUGCCCCGCCUCCACCCAAACUGCCAAAGUCGAACAGAGGGCAGCCGAGCAGGGUCAUUCAGCUGCCUGGGUUCCGAGCUGAGUCCUUGCUGAGGCCUCAGGCCCUGGGCCGUACGGCAGGACAGCGCUUAGAGCACUGGAGGCCCUGUACCACACAGUUCCCACUUCUGUCAGGGUAGAGGGGUGAGGCGCAGCCUAAGACAGCACAACCCAGGUUAAAACGUAAGCCACACGGUGAAAAAGGAAACUAGGCAAAUAAAAUGGACAGCAUGCACUGAAUAUUUCUGUCUAUCUUCAUCCACAAAGCCCAAGUUAUCUCAAGAUGCUAAUCAGGGCGGACUAUGGAAGUUCCUGGUCUCUAAACAACGAUCUACAAACUGAGGUGUAGGAAGAGCUUUGUAGACCCUUCGUUUAAUUUAUUUUCAAUUUCACCAUUCAAAUUCUGCAUUAUGUAAUGUACAUUUUAAACAGUUCAAUUUGUAAAUAAACAUACAUACAUUGGGGUGAAUGUU